CCUACGGGGGGCUGCAGUGAGGAAUAUUGGUCAAUGGACGAGAGUCUGAACCAGCCAAGUAGCGUGAAGGAUGACUGCCCUAUGGGUUGUAAACUUCUUUUAUAUGGGAAUAAAACGUUCCACGUGUGGGAUUUUGUAUGGACCAUAUGAAUAAGGAUCGGCUAACUCCGUGCCAGCAGCCGCGGUAAUACGGAGGAUCCGAGCGUUAUCCGGAUUUAUUGGGUUUAAAGGGAGCGUAGGUGGAUUGUUAAGUCAGUUGUGAAAGUUUGCGGCUCAACCGUAAAAUUGCAGUUGAAACUGGCAGUCUUGAGUACAGUAGAGGUGGGCGGAAUUCGUGGUGUAGCGGUGAAAUGCUUAGAUAUCACGAAGAACUCCGAUUGCGAAGGCAGUUCACUGGACUGCAACUGACACUGAGGCUCGAAAGUGUGGGUAUCAAACAGGAUUAGAUACCCGGGUAGUC
rnacentral:rRNA from 1 species